rnacentral:rRNA from 1 species
ACCACUAGGAUCGGUUUUCUUUGAGGAAAUUAGAGUGUUCAAAGCAGGSGUAACUCGCCUCCGAAUACGUUAGCAUGGGAUAAUGGAAUACGACUUCGGUCUUGUUUCGUUGGUUUCGCUUGGCUGAAGUAAUGAUUGAUAGGGACAGUUGGGGGCAUUAGUAUUUAGUUGUCAGAGGUGAAAUUCUAGGAUUUACUAAAGACUGACCAAUGCGAAAGCAUUUGCCAAGGAUGUUUUCAUUAAUCAAGAACGAAAGUAGGGGGAUCGAAGACGAUCAGAUACCGUCGUAGUCUCUACCGUAAACUAUGCCGACCAGGGAUCCGGAGAGUUUGCAUGGAUGACUCCCCGGGCACCUUGUGAGAAAUCAUAAGUGUUUGGGUUUUGGGGGGAGUAUGGUCGCAAGGCUGAAACUAAAGAAUUGACGAAGGGAACCAGGUUAGC